UGAAUACGAGACGCUAAGGCGUCGAAGUAGUGUAUGUCAUACUUCCAAGAAAAGCUUGCACUGUCAUAGAUAAAAAACGCCUGUACCAUAACCGACACAGGUGGGUAGGUAGAGUAUACUAAGGGGCGCGAGAUAACUCUCUCUAAGGAACUCGGCAAAAUAACUCCGUAACUUCGGGAGAAGGAGUGCCUUAUUCGUAAGGCUGCAAUAACAAGAUCCAAGCAACUGUUUAUCAAAAACACAGGUCUCCGCUAAGUCGUAAGACGAUGUAUGGGGGCUGACGCCUGCCCAGUGCCAGAAGGUUAAAGAAGUUGGUUAGCAUUUGCGAAGCUGAUAACUGAAGCCCUGGUGAACGGCGGCCGUAACUAUAACGGUCCUAAGGUAGCGAAAUUCCUUGUCGGGUAAGUUCCGACCCGCACGAAAGGCGUAAUGAUUUGGAUACUGUCUCGGAGAGGGGCUCGGUGAAAUAGACUUGUCUGUGAAGAUGCGGACUACCUGCACCAGGACAGAAAGACCCUAUGAAGCUUUACUGUAACUUGAAAUUGAAAUUGGACUUUAUUCGCGCAGUAUAGGUGGGAGGCGUUGAUUAUAAUCUUGCGGGAUUAUUGGAGCCAUCAGUGAGAUACCACUCUUGUAAUGUUAGAUUUCUAACUUUGUAUCAUUAUCUGGUCAAAGAACAGUUUCAGGCGGGCAGUUUGACUGGGGCGGUCGCCUCCCAAACGGUAACGGAGGCGUACAAAGGUUUCCUCUGAACGGUUAGAAAUCGUAUCUAGAGUGUAAAGGCAUAAGGAAGCUUGACUGUGAGACCUACAAGUCGAGCAGGGACGAAAGUCGGUCUUAGUGAUCUGACGGUACUGAGUGGAAAGGCCGUCACUCAACGGAUAAAAGUUACUCUAGGAUAACAGGCUGAUCUCCCCCAAGAGUUCACAUCGACGGGGAGGUUUGGCACCUCGAUGUCGGCUCAUCGCAUCCUGGGGCGGUAGUACGUCCCAAGGGUUGGGCUGUUCGCCCAUGAAAGCGGUACGCGAGCUGGGUUCAGAACGUCGUGAGACAGUUCGGUCCAUAUCCGGUGUAGGCGUUAGAAUAUUGAGAGGAGCCUUCUUUAGUACGAGAGGACCGAGAAGGACAUACCUCUGGUGUACCAGUUAUCGUGCCAACGGUAAACGCUGGGUAGCUAUGUAUGGAGUGGAUAACCGCUGAAAGCAUCUAAGUGGGAAGCCCACCUCAAGAUAAGUAUUCUCACC
rnacentral:rRNA from 1 species